rnacentral:rRNA from 1 species
GACGGAAGGUGCAAGCGUUGCUCGGAAUCACUGGGCGUAAAGGGUGCGUAGUCGGCUUGGUAAGUUGGGUGUGAAAGCCCCGGGCUCAGCCCGGGAAGGGCACUCGAAACUGCCGAGCUGGAGUGCCGGAGGGGAGAGUGGAAUUCCUGGUGUAGCGGUGAAAUGCGCAGAUAUCAGGAAGAACACCUAUGGCGAAGGCAGCACUCUGGGACGGUACUGACGCUGAGACGCGAAAGCGUGGGGAGCGAACAGG